CAGCCCUCCUCCCACACAGCUCCCAGGCUGAAGGUGCCUUGUGACCCAGGCCUGUGCUCCCCAUGCAUUCAGUGGCCGGUUCAGGGACCUGUGUGCCCAAACCCAGCUAAUCCCAGCCAGGAAACCUCAGUUCUGGGACUUCUGGUCAAGCUUUUGGGGCAGUGGACUCCCUUUUCUCCCAGGACGUGGGUCUGAAAGUUUAUAGCACUGAGGGGGACACCCAGUCUGAGAAGGUGGCGGAUGCAGCACAAGGUAUUGCUGAGCAAUAGAGAGAAACAGCGUUCUCAUGACAGCGUUUGAGUUCUGGAUCAAGCCGUACUUGAACCUUCCUGGAUUUAUCAGUCACUUGAAUCGAUAAGUCCCCCUUUUGUCUUAAUCUAGCCUGAGUCAGGCUUUCUGUCACUCACAGUCAAAAAAGGCCUGACUGAUAAACCCAUUCUCUGGCAUCAAGGCCUCUGUGAACCCAAUUAAUAAAGUGGUGGCUGCCUGGAUUAGCACAAAUUCAGAGCAAAAGGAAGGAGAAAAUGUUUCCAGACAUUCUACUCAGGCUUUGGGGCAUCCCUAGCCUACUUGAGGUAUUGCAGGAAAAAAAAAUCCUUCAGAAUUGGAAGACUUGAGUUUAAAACUCAGCCCUCUCACUUACUCACUAGCUGUGUGACCUUGGACAAGUCACUAAACCUCUCUGAGACUCUAUUUCUUCAAACCUCUGAAGGCUAUAAUGACAGUAAAAUGAAAUAAUGUGCAUAAAGCGCUAAGUACACAGUAGGUCCUCAAUAAAUGCACCCAUACAAUGUGGCUCAGCGCAUCUACAUCUACUUAAUUACAGGCACAUGAAGAAGACAUAUGGGGACAGAGAGGAAGGCCAGCCUGUUUCCCCAGAAUUCACUCAUUGUGGGUGCUCCCUCGACGUGUAGCUUCUGUUGGUCUUAGCAGGAAGCAGGAGGGUACGGCAGAAAGGAGCAAGGGCUUUGGGGUCAGAGAAACCUGGGUUUAAGUUCUGUCUCUGCUCUGUGACCUUAGGCAAGUUGCCUAACCUCUCGGAGCCUUGUUCCCUCGUUAGUAAAAUGGGGAAGGCAAUGGUACCUCGUAAGGAGAUAUGGGACGAAAGCACGAUGCAGCAGACACUGGACUUAGCAAGCACGCUUAUGCUCCCAGGCCUAGCCAGGCUCUUCCUCAAAGGUUGGUCCUUAAGACCCUGCCACGUUCCUGCCUCCCUGAGCUCAGCCACGCCUGUGACUUCAACUCCUCGGCCUCCCUGAUGACCGCAAAGAUCCGUGUCCAGGCCCGACCUCUCUCCAGAGUCCAGACCUCCUGGGCGCCUCCACCAGGAUGUCCUCCAGGCACUCCGAACCCAGCGCCAGGUCCUGGAUCGUCCACUGCUCCCUGUGUGAUUUGGGUCUGUCGCCUUGGUUUCUUCGCCUAUAACAUGAGCAGCUGGUAGUGGCCCUAACAUCCUAGGAUUCUCACCUCCAACAUGUCAUCUCCCCAGACUCAUCACCCCCAAAAGCAGCAGCACCGUUCUCCAGCGAAGCCCAGCCUGGAAACUCCGAGUCAGCGUGGGUUCGUCCACCUUGGUCAUCACAGCCCCCACGUCUGGGAGGGUCUGCCUCGAUAUGCUGCCCUAUCUCUACACCCCUCCUGUGGCCCCACCGUCGUCCUAGGCCAGACCCUCAGCACUACACCUCCGGGCCCCGCACCGGCUUCCCCACUCCGUCCACCCUCUGCUCCUCCCACCCAUGAACCGAUGGUCAGUGAAGGCCUGGGCAGCUUCCCUCUCAAACAGUCUUAGCGUGGAGGCUGGGCCUUCUCAUGUCACCAUCAAGACCUGGACUUCGCUGUUGACAGUGUCAGUGCCCUGGAGAUUCUUUCUAAGGUUGGGGAUGAGGAGAGAAACCUCUCGCGGGGUCCAUACUAGACGCUCAAUAAAUAUUUGUUAAAUUCAUUCAUUCAUUCAUUCAUGCUUUUCGAAACACACCCUCUGGAUGGUCAUCUCCAAUCCAAGACAGACAACGCCAGAGGUUGCUUUGCAAAUCUCGUGAAAACUAUGGGCCUUUGUUUACCUAUGUGAAUUUUGCGUAUCAUUUCAGCGGGUUCAUAGCCCCCCAAGCCCAUCUACAGAGCAAAGGUUGCCCCUGAUUGAGCUCGUUUUAUGGAUGGGGAGACUGAGACGCAAAGAGACAAAGGGACGUGUCAGAGAACAUGCAGAGCUAGUCGUCGGCCAGGCACCAGAUCAUCUUAUGAAAGAGCUGGAUCCACUCCCGGCUCCAGGUCCAGGCUUUGAGUAGUAAGUCACGUAACACCUCACGUCUUUGUGCUGUCUCCCCAUCCACGCACGAGGGACCAGGCCCGCACUGUGAGGCUGCAGAGAGAAGAUGCUGUGUACAGAGGAGCCUGGCCCAGACCCGUGUGUGGAAGACAAUUCCUGUCCCAUUCUCCUGCUUGCCUUUUCUCUUCCUUUCCUUGCAGGAUUUUGGAGCACAGAAACGUCACUGCCGUCUAAAGAGGUCAUGGAAGUCUUCGCGGAAGAGAAAAGCCCCGCCUGAGCUUCAGCUUUGGGUGCUGGAGGAGGGCAGGGGCCAAGGGUUAUUAAUAGGCCUGGCUUGAUGGGCCCAGGGCGGGCGAAUGUGAUACAGACACCCAGCACCAUCGUUGGGGAGUACCUGACACCGGAAGGGGAGGGGGCUGCGGGCCGGGGGGAGCGCCACCUCCCAAAAUAGCCAGAGCAGAAGCCUAUAUAGGUGGCCGUCCCACCACCAGGCUCACUUCCCAACAGGACCUCCCACCAACCCAGCCUUCCGGUGCAGUUCCAGCCCUCCACCCCCACCCGAGGUGAGUGGCAGCUAUGGAGGCUGGAGGAGGAUGCAGGGAGGCAGUGGGGAGGAAGCCAGCUGGAAGGGACAGUGAGACAAGGGCUGGGGGAGGGGAUGCCCAGAGGUAGGCAGCUGUGGAGUCCAGGCCUGAGAGCACGGGAUUCUUGUGCUGUCCAUCCUGUCUCCCAAGGUGACCUGAGGCAAAUCCCUCCCGCUGGCUGGGCCUCAGCUUCCCACCUGUAGAACAAGAGGGAUGGAGCCUGACAUCUGUGGACUCCGGUGAUGCCAUCAGAGGGGGCCCACGAGCUGAGUGGGCAGAGGAGGCAGGAGGAAGGAGUGUGCAGGGCUGACGGUUGAGCUGACAAUAUUGUCUGACACUUGGUGGAUGGACUGGGGCCUGAAAGCGUCCAGUUGAUGGAAGGCAGCAGGGAGAGAUGGACGAAGGAGGGAGAAGGACGCGCCUCUGUGGAGGCUCCAGCCGUUGCCACAGGGGCCCCUGUCUGGGACUCUCCAGGAGCUCGUCUGUGGCUCAGACACGUGGGACUUGAUGGGGCUGCGCCCUGAGCCCUGGGGAGGAGCUCCGGGGAGCGGGUCCCUGAACUCCAAGUCAGUCGACCUGGGAGUGGGCCCCUCUCUGCCAGUGCCUCGCUGUGCAUCCUCAAGCCAUUCACUGACUCUCUCUGGCCUCAGUCUCCCCACCAGCGUAGAAUAAGGAUCCUUCACCCGGGGAAACAGAUCCUCAGCUAGGCGCCUUGACUGAGCCGAGCCCAGGGGCUGAAAUGAUAGCACAGAAGCCCAGCAUGUUGGAGUUAACAGCCCAGCUGGGGUCGGGGCAGCAGGGGCAGCCGAGGUGUCUGGGGAAGGUCUCGUGCCGGGAGGCCAGGUCUGCAGCCUUGGCGCCUUGGAAGCCGCUGGUGGGCUGGUGCCUGAAGAAGCUGACUCACAGGGAGGGGGACAGCCUGAGCCAGCGGUGUCCUAGGGUUUCCAGGAGGGCAGCCGUCCAGGGCCGAGCCGAGGCAGACAGUGUGGACAGCCAAGGCCGGGCAACCGGAGCUAACGGACAGCUGGGCAGCUCUCUCCAGCCCGCCAAAGGCCACCAGUGUCAGCCCCUGACCGCCUGCCCACAUCUUGAGUUGAGGUCUCAAGGUUCCACCACAAGGGACCACAACACCAUCAACACAACGGAGGGAGGCAGAAGCCCAGAAACGGGGAAGGUCACCACCCAAGGUCACACAAGGAUUUAGUGCAGCCCCAAAUCUAGAACCCCAGCCUCCUGACUCCCUGUCCAGUGCUCCACACACUCUAGAGGCAGCCGGUUGCAGCCUGAGUCCUUGGGAGACCGUGGGAAAGAAUGCAAUUGGUCUCUGGCUGCACAAAGAUUAGGAAGUGUCAUGUUUCCCAGAGACGCAAUUCAGGCCAUGAAAUCUGCUUCCGUUGUCUAAAAAGUGAAUGUGCCACCUUCUCCCCAGACAUGGGCCGUCUGCUCUCCAAGUGGGGUGAGGCUGCAUGGAGAUUCCAAGUAGUCUUUCCCACCUCCCCCUCCCUCAAAGCUUUGUGGGGCAGGAGGCGUCUGGACCAGGCGCAAUCCUCUGGGGCCCAGGAGACCAGGAAAGUAGUUAGGGGGGAUCUGAGAAGAGAUCUUCGAAAAGUCAGACUAGCAAUAGGAAAAAAAAAUUAAAAAAAUCAGGAUUCAGAACGUGCAUCCUGGCCAGAUGUGGGAUGGGGCACCUGCAGGGGGCCCCAGCAGCGCCGGCCUAUCCGUGCCACCCUCUCCCAGCGUCCCGUGGGUCGGGUUUCCAGACCUCAGAGCUCAGAUUUUGCAGCAUAAAUUUGCAUCCAGGACAGACAAGAGCCGAGGCUGAGGUAGGAGCAGAGAGAGAAUGGGAACAGGGCCGAGGGGCCCACGAGGGUGCAGGCCUGGCCCCGGCCGGUCAGUAUCCUCCCAGAAGCGGCGCGACAUCCUCCGAGUUGCAGGAUGUCGAUGACAGACUUGCUCCACGCUGAGGACAUCAAGAAGGCAGUGGGGGCCUUUACCGCUGCAGAAUCCUUCGACCACAAAAAGUUCUUCCAAAUGGUGGGCCUGAAGAAAAAGAGCCCGGAUGAUGUGAAGAAGGUGUUCCACAUCCUGGAUAAAGACAAGAGCGGCUUCAUCGAGGAGGAAGAGCUGGGAUUCAUCCUGAAGGGCUUCCUCCCGGAUGCCCGAGACCUGACUACUAAGGAAACCAAGACGCUGCUGGCUGCUGGAGACAAGGAUGGGGACGGCAAGAUUGGGGCCGACGGAGGACUCAUGAGCCAUCCAUCCAUCCAUCCAUCCAUCUGUCCGUCUGUCCGUCCAUCCGUCCAUCCAUCCGUCCGACCGUCCAUCCAUCCAUCCAUCUGGCCUUCGUUCACUAGCACGUGCUUUGCGCCAGGCCUAUGCCAGUGCUAGGAGAGUGGUGAACAAGACAGACAGGGCUCCCUGCCCUCCUGGAGUUUACAUUCUAGUAGGGGAGACCAACAAAAACAACUAAGUACAUAAAUUAGAUCAUUUCAGAGAGCACUAAGUCCCAUGAAGCGAAUUAAAAAGGGCUAAUAUGACAGUCAGGGGCUGGCGAUAUCUGAGCCGGCUCCUGAGUCACUCUCCACCUAGGUUACAGUAGGUCAGAAACGUCCGGGGUAAAGAAGGAAGCCUGGGAGCAUCGUGCUUGAAUCAUGUCCACUGGGUGAUCUUGGUCCAGCUACUUAACUCUCGGGCCUCAGUUUCCCCAACUGUAAAGUGCAGACGAGAGUGUCCUUCCCAUGGAGUAGUCGUGAGAAUUUAAUGAGAUAAUAAAUGCAAAACACUUCCCACGUAGGCAUUCAAGGAAUAAGGAUUCUUAAAUUCUAUAACAAUGGACAAUACUCGUCAAAGUACUAAUGAUAAAAAAGCAUCUCAAAAGAACCAGCUGCCUUAGUCAGGGUCUGCAGGACCAUGGGAGCCCGAGGCUGAGAGAGCAGAUGUUCUGACACCUGGCCCGAGGGGCGGGCUGUUAGAAGGGCCCCAUCCCUGCCACUCACUGUUACCACUCAGCCCGCUACCCUGGGGGACCCUCCCUCUCUCCCACCUGGAGUCAUGCCUAGGCCCCCACAUCUGGGUCACCUGCCUUCCUGUCCUCAGGGACAGCCUGGGGAGAGGAGAGGGUGGUGUCCAUUUCCCAGGUCAAACCCCAGAAAAGUGAGGAGCCGGGGUACAUGUCCUCCACCCGGCGGGGGUCGGCGCCAGGUUAUUUCCAUGACGACAGCAUGGGCGGAUUUGGUUUUGUUUUUUCCCUCUUUUAUUUUGAAAUAAUUCUAGCUGUACUGAAGUUGCAACAAUAGCCCAGAGAAUUCUGGAUGCCCUUCUCCCAGCAUCCCUAAGGCCAACAUUUACAUGACCCUGGUCCAAUAGUGAGAACUAAGAAAUCACACCGGGAGGUUUUUACGUAAGUGCUUCAUACUGACUCUGGGAGGGUGGGGCGAACCUCAGGGAGCCCCAGAUACUUUUUACAGCCUUUUCGAAGCCACUUCACAUCCAGUGUCUUGUUUGUCUCUCACAAGGAAUUGUCACUGCCCCCUCACUUCACUCCACUGACCAGUGGAGGAAGUGAUGCCCGAGAGGUACAUUUCCCACCUAGUAGGGCAAGGCUGCUCCUGGACCCCAACUCUCCAUACUGCCCCCCUCCCCGUGCUGUCCCCACAUUAUGACAAUGCAUCUUCUAGAGGCCAUGGGGACUUACCUGGGGCCCCUGCUGCAGGGAGGGGACAUGGCAUCUCAGAGACACACAGUGGCAGAGGGUGGCAAACUCCUUCUGUCCUCUCUCGUCUCCUGGAGAGAAAAACAACAGAGAAGACCCUCCCUGGACCCCCUUGAUUCCAAAUAAAGGUCUCAGAAGAGCCGGCUGCUGGGCAGUCCCCUUUGACCGCCACAGUAAGGACCCUGCAGUUGAGAGGACAUGGGAAACGGGCAGAGGAGCUCACGGCGGGAGCCGAGGACCUCCUGUGGGCCAGGACACGUCUCUUCUGACCAUCUCCGACCCAAGAAGCGGAGCGGACUUCUCCUCCUUUUACGGAUGAUGAGGAGGAGGCUCAGAGAGGCCAGGCGCCUUUUCUGAGGUGACACAGCCCGUAAGUGGGAGAGCCAGAUUUCAGGCCCAGGCUUCUUCAGCUGUGCCAGUCCCGUCACACAAGACGCCAGCCCAGCAUGGCUACGGGUCUUUCCCAAAUACACCCCACUGUUUCCUGCCCUCUGGGCCUCGACAGUGGAAGGCCCCCACCUCAGUCCCUUCCUCCCUCUGCUUCUUGCUGUGGGAAUCCUGCAUCUUCUCAGGGACUCUCUCAGACCCACCUUCCCUCUGAAGGCUUCGCUGCUUCCUCAGAAGGCAGCUUUUCUCCCUGGGAAAGACAAGUCUCUGUGUCCCCUCAUCCUUUCCCGGACACAGUGGCCCCUCGGUGUCUGGUGCUGAGCCAGGUGGUGGGAUGGAGGCAUGAACAAGGCGGGUGGGAGCUCUGUGUUCCAACGAGAGAGGCAGACGACAAAGGAAUAAGCAACAUGUACUCAAAAUUAUUUGCAGGGUGCUAAGUGCUGUGAAUAUAACAAAAAAUGGUCAUAGCAACGAGGACCCCAGUCAGGCAGGUCACUACUUUCGCCAGAGUGGUCAGAGAAGGCCCCUGGAAGAGGGACACUCGAGCUGAGACCAGGUGAGAAACAGCUGGCCCAUGAGACAGUCUGGAGAGUGUCCUGGGCGGAGAGAACAGCAGGUGCAAAGAUCCUGAGGUAGGAAUGCACUCAGCGUGCUGGGGGCUCAGAGGAAGGCUCGCAGCGUGGAGCACUUCCUGCCAGAUAUGGUCUUCUUCUCAGACUGGACCAGAAGCUCCUGCCGGGCAGGGACUAUCUCCUGCUACCCAUGUCUCCCCUCACCCGGUUCAGGCCAUUCCUUUGUUCCUUCAGGAGGAGCUGGAUCCACGAGAGGGACUCAAUUGCCCCCUAGUGCCAAUGCUGGUCUCUGACAUCAUUAAUCAGCAGGAGGUGAAGCCUGGCGGACGGACACCACUGGGGAGGCAGGGGCAGGCGAGCACCCGGCCUCCCCCACCGUGGCCUUGAAGGCAGGCCCAUGGGGAGGAGCCUGGGCCCCAGGGCUUGACUCCCGGCUCAGCCACUUAUAAUCCUUGAGGCUCUGAAAGUCACUUCUCCUCUCCUGGCCUCAGUUUUCCCUUCUGUAAAAUGGGGACAAUGACUCCCCAUGACCUGAGGGUCUGUCAGGAGCGUUAAGUGAGGAGCUGGUGAGACGGAGCCCAACUCCUUCCCAGCACCUGUACGCGCCCGGCCCUCUGGGCAGCAUGGAGAGGUCUCCACGUGCUCGGGGCUCCUCUGGGGUCUUGCUGGGUCCCUGAGGAGGAAGUUCUUGAACCUGGCCGCUCACCAGAAUCACCUUUCAGUCAAUAAAGUAGUCGUCCCCUCCUCCAGCCCUCCUACGUCAAUUCCGGGACAAUGGCCUGGGAGCCUGUGUCUUCUCAGAUUCUGCUGCUGAUGCUGAUGGGCAGCUGGGGAACGACCAGAAUUCUCCGUCCUGGUGGCUGAAAGCUAAGAGGCUCUGACGGCCCCGGGUCCUCCACCUCUCCGCCCCGGACCCCUGAUCUCAGCCCCUCUUGCCACCCUCCUGCGUUUCUGUUGAGUUUGUUUAUGUUAUUUUUUACUCCCCCCUGUGCCCUGCGGCCCUCGAGUGACACCGUUCUUCUGGAAAAUGCUGGAGAAACAAUAAAGGCUGUACCAAUCGGACUCUGCUGCUCGGGAGGACUCAGGCCUGGCGGGGUGUGGGUCCCGCCGUGACUUUGCAGACACACCUGUGCAGGGGUGGGGCCGGGAUUUAGACGGUUAGAAGAGAUGGGAUGGAAGAGAAAGGUACUAAGCCUCUCUUCUGUGUUUGGUACUGAACGUGGUACUCUACGUGGGCUGCCCAUUAAUCCUUGAAACCACCCCAUAAGGUAGGCAAUGAAACUCCCAUUUUACAGAUGCAGAAACUAAGUCUUGGAGAGAAAAGUGAUGUGUCUGAGCUGACAUGGCUAGGACUUGUGGAUGGACUGAUGGAUGAAUGGAUGCCCAUUAAGACUCUUUUUGCUACAAAUGACAGAAACCCAACUCAAAAUGACUUAGGCAAAAAAG
rnacentral:lncRNA from 1 species